UUUGGGUAAAAUGACCAAAAUAUCCUUAGUAUUUAAAAUUUUAUAAAAGAAAUAAAGUAACAAUCUUUUGAUAUUUUAGUUGAUGAUUUGAUAGAAGAUUGAUUGGUGAUUGGAUAAUCCAAAUAAACCACAUCAAACAUGCCCCCUAGUAUAAACCAGAUUCAGCCUGUAAUGUAUGGAAUUUUUAUCAUGGUUAUUAUUAUGUCCUGGAAACCUAGAUUUCCGGAAGCGAGAUCGGGACGAUGACCGUCGUGGGCCACCAAUCAUCAACAAAAGAAGAUCAGAUCACGAGUCCAAAAGAAAUCCUGAUUCUGAAACUAGGCCGGAGAAGAAUCCGCGAUUUCGUGAUAAGGGUGACUCUGAUGAGGAUUAGGAGGUAGAUGAUCAUAAGAGGCGACAUUAGAUGAUGAUGAUAGUGAUUUUCUACUUUAAAAUUGGAUUUGCUGAAACCAGAUUAAAAUGCAUGUUUAUUUAUUGCUUCA